AGCCAAUGUGCGCGGCAGACAUCUUGGAUUUUGAGCGCGCAAUGUAUCCUGGGAGACUGAGUACUUGUUUACGUUUUUCUCGUCGCUCAUGGAUCUUCAUAGUUUUGUGAAGUAGUUCCUAAAAUGAGCAUAAACUUUGAUAAACAGAAGUUCCAGGUGCUUUUUUCAAAACUCUUUUGAAGCUGCAACUAUUACUGAGCUGAAGCGUUGGUUAAAAUGUCGAGGAGCAUCCGUUAAAGGUCUGAAAAGUGAGCUUGUUGAAAGGUGUGAAAUCUACUCAGCUGAUCCAACAAGGUUUCACAAUGUGAUCGACCCGGAUUUAAUCCAUUCCGACACCAGAAUCUAUUCUUGUAAACUAUCCUAGCGUGAAAGACAACCUCCAAGAUGGCAUACUUUGGACUAGAUCACUUCUUGGUUUGUCCAGUGGUUUUGGGGAGGGAAAAAUAUUUGAACAUCUUGGGCCCGGGAGAUUAAAACACAGAGUUGCUGGGUGAUCAACAUGCUUAUAUCAACGAACAAGAUAUCCAAUCUCGAAGUGAAAGGUAUCGUAGAGCGUACGGGAAGGAUCUCAGUGUAGAGAUCAACAACAUAACUGGGAGAGUGGACGAAGGCCACUGGGGCUAAAGGCAUUUGCAAACAUGUAGCAGCGAUGUUAUUCAAGAAAAUGUGCCUCAAGAUCUCAUUCAAUUAAGUCUGAGCAGAAAGAACAGGUACUUACAGAGCAGAACUACAGUUACUAAUACUAUACUUCCAAGUUUAGACACAGCUUGUUUUUCCUGGGAAUCACCUGGUGUGAUUUCAUGGUAUAUUAUAAAGUUAGUAUCAGAAAUUAUUACAAGAAAGACCUAUGUUUACAAAUAAAUAGUGUGU